AUUGAACGCUGGCGGCAUGCCUUACACAUGCAAGUCGAACGGUAACAGGUCUUCGGAUGCUGACGAGUGGCGAACGGGUGAGUAAUACAUCGGAACGUGCCCGAUCGUGGGGGAUAACGAGGCGAAAGCUUUGCUAAUACCGCAUACGAUCUACGGAUGAAAGCGGGGGAUCUUCGGACCUCGCGCGGACGGAGCGGCCGAUGGCAGAUUAGGUAGUUGGUGGGAUAAAAGCUUACCAAGCCGACGAUCUGUGGCUGGUCUGAGAGGAUGAUCAGCCACACUGGGACUGAGACACGGCCCAGACUCCUACGGGAGGCAGCAGUGGGGAAUUUUGGACAAUGGGCGAAAGCCUGAUCCAGCCAUGCCGCGUGCAGGAUGAAGGCCUUUGGGUUGUAAACUGCUUUUGUACGGAACGAAAAGCCUCUUUCUAAUAAAGAGGGGUCAUGACGGUACCGUAAGAAUAAGCACCGGCUAACUACGUG
rnacentral:rRNA from 1 species